rnacentral:rRNA from 1 species
AGUGAACGCUGGCGGUAGGCCUAACACAUGCAAGUCGAACGGCAGCACAGUAAGAGCUUGCUCUUACGGGUGGCGAGUGGCGGACGGGUGAGGAAUACAUCGGAAUCUACUUUUUCGUGGGGGAUAACGUAGGGAAACUUACGCUAAUACCGCAUACGACCUACGGGGGAAAGCAGGGGAUCUUCGGACCUUGCGCGAUUGAAUGAGCCGAUGUCGGAUUAGCUAGUUGGCGGGGUAAAGGCCCACCAAGGCGACGAUCCGUAGCUGGUCUGAGAGGAUGAUCAGCCACACUGGAACUGAGACACGGUCCAGACUCCUACGGGAGGCAGCAGUGGGGAAUAUUGGACAAUGGGCGCAAGCCUGAUCCAGCCAUACCGCGUGGGUGAAGAAGGCCUUCGGGUUGUAAAGCCCUUUUGUUGGGAAAGAAAGGCAGCAGGUUAAUACCCCGCUGUUCUGACGGUACCCAAAGAAUAAGCACCGGCUAACUUCGUG